GAUUGCAUCAGCAAUACAUAUAAUAAUAUUGGAAUGACACAGAGUUGAUUAGUGUGGCUCCUGCACAAUGAUGGCAUGCGGUACAUCAGAUACAUGAAAUGGACAC